AUGAACGCUGGCGGCGUGCCUCAUACCUGCAAGUCGCGCGAACAGACGAGGAGCUUGCUCCUCUGACGUUAGCGGCGGACGGGUGAGUAACACGUGGAUAACCUACCUAUAAGACUGGGAUAACUUCGGGAAACCGGAGCUAAUACCGGAUAAUAUAUUGAACCGCAUGGUUCAAUAGUGAAAGACGGUUUUGCUGUCACUUAUAGAUGGAUCCGCGCCGCAUUAGCUAGUUGGUAAGGUAACGGCUUACCAAGGCGACGAUGCGUAGCCGACCUGAGAGGGUGAUCGGCCACACUGGAACUGAGACACGGUCCAGACUCCUACGGGAGGCAGCAGUAGGGAAUCUUCCGCAAUGGGCGAAAGCUUGACGGAGCAACGCCGCGUGAGUGAUGAAGGUCUUCGGAUCGUAAAACUCUGUUAUUAGGGAAGAACAAAUGUGUAAGUAACUAUGCACGUCUUGACGGUACCUAAUCAGAAAGCCACGGCUAACUACGUG
rnacentral:rRNA from 1 species